UUGCACUGUGUAUCAUAGGUCUCUUUGAUUAUUUAGAGUGGCCUUUGAGCUACGGUGCAUAAAAUAAGAGCUGAUUUGUCAGCAGGCAGCCAGACAACUGCUGAGGUGGAUCCACAGAUGAACAGCUUGUUUUAAUGUUGUUUGUCUACUAAUUUCACCUUAAAUUU